rnacentral:rRNA from 1 species
GAUAUGGCUCAGGACGAACGCUGGCGGCGCGCCUAACACAUGCAAGUCGAACGAGCGAGAGAGAGCUUGCUUUCUCGAGCUAGUGGCGAACGGGUGAGUAACGCGUGAGGAACCUGCCUCAAAGAGGGGGACAACAGUUGGAAACGACUGCUAAUACCGCAUAAGCCCACGACCCGGCAUCGGGAAGAGGGAAAAGGAGCAAUCCGCUUUGAGAUGGCCUCGCGUCCGAUUAGCUGGUUGG